rnacentral:rRNA from 1 species
ACGGCCAUACCACGUUGAAAGCACGCCAUCCCGUCCGAUCUGGCAAGUUAAGCAACGUUGGGCCUGGUUAGUACUUGGAUCGGAGACGGCUUGGGAAUCCCA